rnacentral:rRNA from 1 species
AUUGAACGCUGGCGGCAUGCUUUACACAUGCAAGUCGAACGGCAGCGCGGGCUUCGGCCUGGCGGCGAGUGGCGAACGGGUGAGUAAUGCAUCGGAACGUGCCCAGUAGUGGGGGAUAGCCCGGCGAAAGCCGGAUUAAUACCGCAUACGACCUGAGGGUGAAAGCGGGGGACCGAAAGGCCUCGCGCUAUUGGAGCGGCCGAUGUCGGAUUAGCUAGUUCGUGGGGUAAAGGCUUACCAAGGCGACGAUCCGUAGCUGGUCUGAGAGGACGACCAGCCACACUGGGACUGAGACACGGCCCAGACUCCUACGGGAGGCAGCAGUGGGGAAUUUUGGACAAUGGGGGCAACCCUGAUCCAGCCAUGCCGCGUGCGGGAAGAAGGCCUUCGGGUUGUAAACCGCUUUUGUUCGGGAAGAAAUCCUCUGGGCUAAUACCCCGGGGGGAUGACGGUACCGGAAGAAUAAGCACCGGCUAACUACGUG